AUGCCUCCGGGGAUCGACUGCAUCGGCGCCCUCCCGGAAGGGAUCCUCCACCACAUCCUGUCCUUCCUCCCGGCGCAGGAGGCGGUGCGGACGUGCGUCCUCGCCCAGCGCUGGCGCCACCUCUGGAAGUGCACCACUGGCCUGCGCAUCGUCGGCAAUAAGGGUCCGGUGUCUGUCCAGCUUCUCCGGAAAUUCAUGGACCAUCUGCUGAUCCUGCGCGAGCGCACGGAUCUAGACACCGUUGGGAUCGAAUUCAGAAAAUUCCGUGAAGACGACGUGCCCUUUGUGAACCUAUGGAUCCGUUUUGCUCUGCAGAGCAAAGUUCGUGCGCUCACCGUCUGUCACUAUGAUGACUGUAACCAACCUUUCAACCUAGAUGGCCUGCCCUUUGUCUCUCCGUGUCUGAGGACAUUGGUCCUUUCUGCAUUGGAGGAUCUCACGAUUGGUUUCUCUGUCAUCAAUGUUGGCAAGAUAUCGUCCCUGUCCCUGAAGUGUUUGAGUAUCUUUCGUUGCCGAUCCUAUCUGGAUGACCGGGUCCGAGUUUCUGCUCCAUGCCUUGUAUCUCUCAAACUAUUGGGGUUUUCAGGUGUUACCCCUUUGCUUGAAAGCAUGCCAUUGUUAGAGACAGCAUUUCUGACUCUUGGCGCUCACGGGCACCUUACCUCACAAGAUAUCUGUUAG
rnacentral:rRNA from 1 species